rnacentral:lncRNA from 1 species
UUUUGUGAUUUCCCCCAUCCUUGAAGCACCACUAUAAGAAGUUAAAUUGCAAAUGAAUGAAUUGCAGGAAGUAACAUAAGCCACUGGAAAAAUGAACUAACACACCAAGCACAAGCUUAACAGUUUACCAAUUCAUAUACAACUCCUUUACAGAGGAAUCUGAAAUGAGUCUGCAACUGUAAAUGCUAAAUAAUCGCAUAUGAUUUGGUAAAAGAAGUGACUCACAAUUCUGAUGAGAUUUAAUUAGAGGUUGAAAGUGAGAGUUCCAGUUAAGCCUCCAAGUAAGGUUUUUCUUGGCCCAAUUGUUGUUGUUGGCGGCAGCGGCGAUGGUGAUGUUGGUGGUGGUGGGAAUAAUUGGGUUCUUUUUGGUUGGUGUUGCUGGUGCUGGAGAUGGUGGUAAUUGGAGGAAAGCAAACGAUUCUGGUUUUGUUCAUGCUUGGUUAGUUUAAUCUUUUCAAAAAAUUAUUUUA